AGAGUUUGAUCCUGGCUCAGAACGAACGCUGGCGGCAGGCCUCAAACAUGCAAGUCUAGGGGGCGUAGCAAUACGUCACCGGCGGACGGGUGCGUAACACGUGGGAAUGUACCUAGUGGUUCGGAACAACACAGGGAAACUUGUGCUAAUACUGGAUAAGCCCGAAAGGGGAAAGAUUUAUCGCCAUUAGAUCAGCCCGCGUAGGAUUAGCUAGUUGGUAGGGUAAUGGCCUACCAAGGCGACGAUCCUUAGCUGUUCUGAGAGGAAGAUCAGCCACACUGGGACUGAGACACGGCCCAGACUCCUACGGGAGGCAGCAGUUGGGAAUCUUGGACAAUGGGGGAAACCCUGAUCCAGCCAUGCCGCGUGAGUGAUGAAGGCCUUAGGGUUGUAAAGCUCUUUUACCCGGGAAGAUAAUGAUUGUACCGGGAGAAUAAGCUCCGGCUAACUUCGUGCCAGCAGCCGCGGUAAUACGAAGGGGGCUAGCGUUGUUCGGAAUUACUGGGCGUAAAGCGUGCGCAGGCGGUCUCUCAAGUCAGGGGUGAAAGCCCAGAGCUCAACUCUGGAAAUGCCCUUGAAACUGUGAGGCUCGAGUGCGGGAGAGGUGAGUGGAAUUCCCAGUGUAGAGGUGAAAUUCGUAGAUAUUGGGAAGAACACCGGUGGCGAAGGCGGCUCACUGGCCCGUUUCUGACGCUCAUGCACGAUAGCGUGGGGAUCAAACAGGAUUAGAUACCCUGGUAGUCCACGCUGUAAACUAUGGACGCUAGCCGUUGGGCAGCUUGCUGUUCAGUGGCGCAGCUAACGCGUUAAGCGUCCCGCCUGGGGAGUACGGCCGCAAGGUUGAAACUCAAAUGAAUUGACGG
rnacentral:rRNA from 1 species